rnacentral:rRNA from 1 species
AUGGAGAGGUUGCCUGUGCUGCACCUGGCAGUGGUGUCUCUGCUCGGCUUCUGCUGCCUCAUCCAUGCUUCAAGGGCUGCGAUUUCAUUCUCAGCUGCGGCCCCGAGGGAGCAGCUGCAGAAGACCGAGGCAAUCCCAACUUCCAGUGGAGCAGAUGGUCAGGCUGUCGUAGCGGGAGAGGUCGACUGCGGUGCUGUCAGCAGGAGGAUGGAGAUGGAGAUGGAGCUGGAGGACUACCCGGGCUCCGGCCCCAACGACCACCACUCGCCGUGGUGGCGGCAGGAGAGGAGGAAUUGA